rnacentral:snRNA from 1 species
CUCAAAUAGAGGACUUUUGGCUAAGAUCAAGUGUAGUAUCUGUUCUUAUCAGUUUAAUAUCUGAUAUGUCCUCUAUUUGAAAAAUAAUUUCUGAUUAUAGUAAUUCCACUGAUUCUCU